rnacentral:lncRNA from 1 species
CGCACUCCAUUCCAGAAGCCAUUCAGCAUCCGAAGACCAGAAGAAAGGAAUGGGGGAUAGGAAAAGGAAGGAUAAAAAAAAGAAAGAGAAAAGGGAGAAAGUAGAAAGUGAAUGGUCAUGAAAAAGCAUACAGAUAGGUGCAUGUGAUCUUCACUAACCAUCCCAUGACUCCAUUAUUGUUCCCAUCAACCCCAACCACACUGCUGCCCCCCCCCACCUUGCUGAAGUACCAACACUGCAACACCAUCAAAAGUUGAUGACAGGAAAAGGUCGCCACCCACACUGCUAAAUAUCGGUUUAGGUGGAUCAAAGGCAGGUUUUGAUAGCAACAACAGAGGGAUAAGAGGAAAAAAAGGGAGGAGGAGGGAGAAGAUAAGAGACAUUUGUGUUGGGCAAUUGCAGAGCACCUUCACUUUGUGGGGGACAACCUUUUACUUCUCAUAUCCAGCUUGCAGAUGAAUCCUCAAAGAACACUGGUGAAGUACCAUCGCCAUCCAAAGUUUCUUUUCUUCGUUCUAUCCCAUUCGAUAAGGAUCUCACUUGCCACUCUCUUCUUUCUCCCCGCAUCUCUUUCGUUUUUCUUGCGUCGACUCCAUCGAUGCGAUAACCGAUCAAUUUAUUUGUUCUUGUUCCUCCUGUACUCGAAAGUAAGUACUUCUUCCUCGCUUGCGCUUUUGAUCACCGGAGAAGCCC